rnacentral:rRNA from 1 species
UAAACUGCGGUGGAAGAAGAGCAGGUAAUACGGAGGAUCAAAGCGUGUUCCGGAAUCAGUGGGUUUAAAGGGUCCGUAGGCGGCCUUAUAAGGCAGCGGUGAAAGUUUUUGGCUUAACCAAAAAAUUGCCAUUGAUACGGUAGGGCUUGAAUAUUUGUGAAGGAACUAGAAUAUGUAGUGUAGCGGUGAAAUGCUUAGAUAUUACAUGGAAUACCAAGUGCGAAGGCAGGUUACUAACAAAUGAUUGACGCUGAUGGACGAAAGCGUGGGUAGCGAACAGGAUUAGAUACCCGGGUAGUC